GAGAGGCAUCUCUUAAAUAUCAAAGGUGAGCCAGUACAGGAUGGACCCGCGUCUGAUUAGUUAGUUGGUAAGGUAACGGCUUACCAAGGCGACGAUCAGUAGCCGACCUGAGAGGGUGAUCGGCCACAUUGGAACUGAGACACGGUCCAAACUCCUACGGGAGGCAGCAGUGGGGAAUAUUGCACAAUGGGCGAAAGCCUGAUGCAGCAACGCCGCGUGAGUGAUGAAGGCCUUCGGGUCGUAAAGCUCUGUCCUCAAGGAAGAUAAUGACGGUACUUGAGGAGGAAGCCCCGGCUAACUACGUGCCAGCAGCCGCGGUAAUACGGAGGGGGCUAGCGUUAUCCGGAUUUACUGGGCGUAAAGGGUGCGUAGGCGGUCUUUCAAGUCAGGAGUGAAAGGCUACGGCUCAACCGUAGUAAGCUCUUGAAACUGGGAGACUUGAGUGCGGGAGAGGAGAGUGGAAUUCCUAGUGUAGCGGUGAAAUGCGUAGAUAUUAGGAGGAACACCAGUUGCGAAGGCGGCUCUCUGGAC
rnacentral:rRNA from 1 species